CUGGCAUCGGUGCUGGGGAGUGGUCCCCGGGGGGGGCCACCACUCCGGCCUCUCUUGGGGCCCGCACUCUCGCUCCGGGCCCU
rnacentral:pre_miRNA from 1 species